AUACAAGAGAAGAAAGAAAAGUUGGGGUCUGUUUUGUUGGUCUUCUUUUUUUCUUCUUCUUCUUCCUCUUCUUCCCCUCCUCCGUCUUCUUUGAUUUCUCAGCUCUCGCCUCUUCUCUUCCUUCAAAUGGACACCAUUUAAGCCCUCUCUUCAUCCUUCAAGGACCCAAAAUAAAUUAAAAACAGUAAGAUAACCCAACAAAAAAAAUUUUAAAAAAAAACAAGAAGAAGGACAAAAACCUCGGCCGAGGAGAGUGUCAGUGGAUUUUGCGAGUCCGAUCAUGGCGGUGGUUGAGAAUGCUGGAAUCAACGUGGUCGGUUCAUCCAAUCGUGCUGACUCGAAUGGUGCUGCGCAAAAUGACGUCGUCGGAGGCGAUCAUCACCACCACCUCCACCUUCAUCAUCAGUCCACAAUGACCACGCCGCCGGCCGCCAAUCACCCCAACCCAAACCCUCCGAUGCUCAGGUCAACGAAGCCACCGCCGUCGGCUGCUGCCGAUCAAACCUUCAUCAACCUCAUGGUCCAGCAGCAGCAGCAGAUGAUUGCUGCCCACCAGACGCCUUCUAGUGCUCCGCCCGCUGCUCCUGCUGCUACCAAUCAGAAGCCCCUUCCUAACUCGGGCAUUCAGCAUCACCAUAACAUCAACGGCAAUGGACUGCCUAACCGGAAUCACAGUGACAAUAAUAACAACGGCAAUCAACAUCAUCAUCACCACCAGAACAUCAAAGGUGUCGAUAUGAGGAGGAAUGGUGGAGUUGAUGACGACGACGACGACGAUGGUGGUUCUGAUGACGGUGGAGAGGGGUUUAAGAGGGAAAUGAGGGAUUUGGAGGAGAUGCUCUCUAAACUCAAUCCCAUGGCCGAGGAAUUUGUUCCUCCGUCUCUAGCCGCCGUCAAUCACCAUCACAGGCUGUUGCCCCCAGCUGCAGGGCACUUUGGUUUCAAUGCUAACAAUUUUUUGAUUCACACCAACUCCGGGAUUCCCACUGCAAAUUCAGCUAGAAGGAAGAAGAACAACUAUAGUCAUGGAAAGCGAAGAAUGAACAGCAGAACUAGUAUGGCUCAGCGAGAAGAUGUAAUUAGGCGGACUGUAUAUGUAUCUGACAUUGAUCAUCAGGUUACUGAAGAGCAACUUGCUGCUCUCUUUCUUAGUUGCGGACAGGUUGUGGAUUGUCGAGUCUGCGGUGACCCUAACUCUGUACUUCGUUUUGCCUUCGUUGAGUUUACUGAUGAGGAAGGUGCAAGGAAUGCUUUAAGUCUGGCAGGCACCAUGCUUGGAUUUUAUCCUGUUAGGGUUUUGCCUUCCAAAACUGCAAUUGCUCCUGUCAACCCAACAUUCUUGCCCAGGUCUGAAGAUGAAAGGGAGAUGUGUGCAAGAACUAUUUAUUGUACAAACAUAGACAAGAAGGUUACUCAAGCAGAUGUUAAACUGUUCUUUGAGUCCAUAUGUGGAGAGGUUCAUCGUCUAAGGUUGCUGGGUGACUAUCAUCACUCAACUCGUAUAGCUUUUGUUGAGUUUGUGAUGGUAACCGCCAUUUUCUUACUCAUUUUGCUUUUAGUCGUUCUCCUCCACUGUGAACUCAUUUUCUCUUCUAUCUUGCAACAUGAAUUCAGUUUCUCUUGCCUCUGCCUUAUUUUCUUUUCACUUUCUGUGAUUGAUUCUCUUUUUUAAUUUGUGAAAUUUAUGCUCGGUUAAGUUUCAAUUUUGAUUCCCUUAUGUGAAGCUUGCUUUUUUUUUUGGGUGCGUGUCACUGAGGCUUGGAUUUUGGGACAACUGUGCGGAUAGAAAUGAUUCUCCUUUUGCUGGUUUUAUGCCAUCCUCUCUAAAAGUUGAAGCUGGAUUAUUCUAAUUAUGGUUUCACUAUGUGCUAUAUUGAUUUUUCUCCGGUGCCGUUGUGGUACAGCAAGCUGGCUUUCUCAGUGAUGCGCAUAAAUGCUAGCUUGUAAGCUUGUGGCUAACAUGAGUGUGACUUUAAAAAGCUGGUAAUUUGGCUGUAGAAGUUGAUGUUGGACUGGAAAUGUCUAAGAUUCUUCAUGUCAAUCUGCUUUAGGAUCUGCUUGUCCACUUGUCCAUAAUAAUAAAACUUCCUUCUUGAUUGUCUGGCGAACUUUGAGACUGCCUAGAUAUACAUUAGUUGUCUCAGUUAAAGGAAAAGAGGAAAAGAGGUCUAUUUUCUUGUUGGCGAUUUCUUUCAUCAUCUCUUGCCUUAAUAAUAUGCGUACAAUCAGCUACCUGCCAUUGCAGUCUAAAAUCAGAAAGUGGUUUCUUUGGAGUGGUCUUCGUGAAGAUUGGCCAUAUGGUUAUCUGCUUAUUCUGGAUUUCAUAGGUAGUGGUUUCAGUCACUUCCACUUAUAACCCCCAUUAAGGCAGUAAUCUCUGGAUUUUACUCUUUUUCUUUGGAUCAUGUCAAUGCAGGAAGAACCAUUAGUUGGUAACAAUAUACUUAAAUUUUUGUGUAGAAUAUUCAAAAUAGGACCAUAAUUGUUGGUGUAUAUCUUGUAUUUGUUUCUUCAUGUUGGAAUCGUCACAUAAGAUUUCAGGAUACUGUUCUUUGAUGUUGUCAUCACAUUUUGGAAUUCCUCUUUCAACUCACAGGGACUGAUCAAAUUGAAGUAGUACAUUAUUACGCAUUACUUUCUUUUCAUGUCCAUCUUAAAGCGUCAAGCUUGGAAGACAAUAGUGGACAUGCAAGAUGCCUGAAUUUCUAGUUUAAGGAGACAAAUUCAGUGGACAAACCUGAUGUGACUUUGCUUGUGUAACUCUUAAUUUCUGAUUUGGUUUGGCUUAGUAGAUAAAUAUUUGUGUAUCCGCACAUGUAGCCUGCACACCAUUUCUGACUGGAGUUGGAUAUUUGAUUGAGAAGCGUUUCUUUUGGGAUCAAUAAUGGGUUUGACCUUCUCUCUCAAAACACACAUAAUUCUUUUGAUAUUUAAGAGAGUGUACAUGCAAACUGUACUAAUCUCGUGAUGAUGGUAAUUGAGAAAUUUAAGCUUCUGAAGUUUCACAUUCUAUCACUAUUUUAUUUUGGAUUUUCUGAAUGAGGGAAAGCUUAUUUGAGGCUUAAGAGGAGAGAGAGUUUUUGGGGAAUAAUGAAAACAUUGUUCUAGGGACGAAAAGAUAACUUUCUUUGAAUCCAGUCAUGAGGUUGCUUGUAAUGCAUAUUUAAAGAUGACAUCAAGAUCAAUUUUGAUGCCCAGCCCCCAAGAACUUGUCAAGAGAACUAUAUUAGUAACUACGUGUUCAGAUUUUUCUUAGUUGAUAAGCUGAGACAUCAGAACAACUUGAUCAAGUCUUGUCAUCUUGGAAACCUUGAGUUGUGUGGACUGCUAAGCUGGAUGUUAAUGUUGUUUGGAACCUUGCUUACCUUAGUUAGCCAGUGGUGGUGAUGCUGCUUGUGUUUCCUGCGAAGAGUCAGGAGUAUGAACUGUGUUAGUCCACAUUCUUUGUAAGGGAGGCUGGAUGCUGAAUUGAAACAUCUUGGGCUUUUUAAGAAAUCAGUGUUGGAUAGUGUAUUAUUGGCAGCUUGGUGAUUUAAUCCAUUAUAACCUUGAACUAUAUUAUCUUCUGAUUGACUCAAGUGGAUGGAAAGAUUCAUUUGGAUAUGCAUAUCAUCAAUCGAGGCCAUUCUAGUUUCCUAAUAGUACUUUUUAUGAUUGCCUAGUUUGUGAGAUUGCUGUGGUUAUGUUACAUUUUAAUCCCUCAUAUUAAUUAAUAGUUUGUGAAUAACUUCUUUGCCUAGGAUUUUGGCUUUUAAGCCUUUGCCCUUGUAUAGUUCAUCUAAGGAAGUAUAUCUUUCUUGUCUCAGUAGCUACUAUUGCUCAUAUUUGGCCACCAUCAAAGAAUAGUUAUGUAGUUGCAGAGGCUUCAGUACCUUGCAAAAUUUUCAAGGUUUUUGCUGUAUUUGAGUUACCUUUUCCUUGCCCAAUUUCUGUGUGACCACCUUUCUGCUAGGUAGUUGACAAAACAAGUCUUUUGUGAACAUCUAUGGAAUCAUACUACCAUCUUCCAUGACCAGUUAGUGAUCUAUUGUGGGGUGAAACGUGGACUUUCUGUCUUAGUUAAGACAGCAUGUUCUCAAUUUGUGGAAAACUUUUAUGUCCUUUGGAAUGGGGAGUGAUGCCUUUCCUGAAUAUUUAUGGAAUUCUCUUCGUUUGCAGGCUGAGAGCGCAAUUGCAGCUCUGAACUGCAGUGGCGCAGUCUUGGGUUCACUUCCGAUAAGGGUAAGCCCGUCAAAGACUCCUGUUCGACCGCGUGCUCCUCGCCCACCUAUGCACUGAAGUCCUUGGCACUUGCUUUAUGCUGAUCUUCUGCUGAUGAAUAUAUAUAUAUAUAUAUAUAUCUCCAUAUCUAUAUAUAUGCAUACAUAGAUACAAACACAUUUUAAGGUACUUUGUCACGUUUACGUUUAUUAGUUUUGUUCAUUGCAUAUGAGCUGGGUACCUCCCAGCCUCCGGGGGAAGGUAUUGAUCGUUGUCUGCUUUUAGCUUGUAGAGUUGGACGGGGUUGAAUGGUGAAGUUGGUUUAAUUAUCAUGUUACGUCUGUGGCCAGUGCAAAACUCUUUGAUGUUUCUAACUCAAAGAUCCAUGAUUUAAUCUUA